rnacentral:rRNA from 1 species
UACGGAGGGUGCAAGCGUUAUCCGGAUUCACUGGGUUUAAAGGGAGCGCAGGCGGAUUUGUAAGUCAGUGGUGAAAGGCUUAAGCUUAACUUGGGAACUGCCAUUGAUACUGCAAAUCUCGAGUCCGGAAGAGGUGAGUGGAAUUCCUAGUGUAGAGGUGAAAUUCGUAGAUAUUAGGAAGAACACCAGUGGCGAAGGCGGCUCACUGGUCCGGUACUGACGCUGAGGUGCGAAAGCGUGGGGAGCAAACAGG